UUAUCAUGUCUAUGAUGGAUAUAUCUGGGU
rnacentral:piRNA from 1 species